CUAAGCAAACUUUGCCAGCAGAAGCCAGAGACCUGGGACACAUCUGGACGCGGUUAUUUUUGGGUUUAGGACAAAAAAAAGUUGACCACACGUCAUUUACCAUAUUUUAUCAUGUUUGGACGAGAGGCCCGCUACCCCUCUGAAGUUCCAGAAUCUUAUUGAGAACAUUCCAGAGAGAUUCAGUGCUGAGUAAACUUGGAGUAACUUCUAGAACUUUAUCGAACUUUCCAGUAAUAUAAAUAGUAGUAUAAAUACAGGGGCCUUAAGCCCACCAGUUCAGUUUAGUUCCAGCUGCCUAAGUGGAUACAUAUCUGCAUUUUUCUGAGAUGGCAUCAAGAGGCUGCAAGCAUCCAGCAGACGCAUUUUGCUAUGUCUGCGGCCAAUUUAUCAAGACGAGUGAAAAAGUACUCUGUGGAAGCAUCUGCUAAGAUGUGCGAGGCCUACAAGGCAUAUUUCGGCAUGCCUGUCGGGGAUCAAGACAAACCCUGGGCACCUCAUUUCACCUGCGAGCACUGCAAAAAAACUCUGGAAGGAUGGUACAGAGGGGAAAAGAGCCAUGAAGUUCGCUAUCCCAAGAAUUUAGCGGGAACCAACUGACCACUCAAGCAACUGCUACUUCUGCAUGGUGGACCCUUCCAAGCAGACAGAGUUCUCUGUGGGGAGGAACAACGUCAAGUGGGAGCCACUGGUGGACCCCUGGAAGGUGCUGAUGCCACCACUGCACAUCAAAUUGGGCCUUAUGAAACAAUUUGUCAGAGCUCUAGAUAAGGAGUCGGCAGCCAUCAAGUACUUUCAAGACUUCUUCCCUAAGCUGUCUGAGGCAAAGGUCAAAGCCGGUGUCUUCAUCGGACCACAGAUAAAGAAGAUCCUGGAGUGCAAUGAAUUCCCCAAGAAGCUCACUAGUAAGGAGAAAGCGGCUUGGAACAGCUUUGUCACAGUGGUUCGGGGCUUCCUGGGCAAUCACAAGGCCGAAAACUAUGUGGAGCUGGUUGAGACUCUGGUGAAGAACUACGGCACAAUGGGCUGUAGGAUGUCCCUCAAAGUCCAUAUCCUUGAAAAUCAUCUUGAUAAAUUCAAGGAGAACAUGGGAGCGUACUCGGAGGAGCAAGGCGAGCGCUUCCACCAGGAUAUACUGGACUUUGAACGCCGCUACCAAGGACAGUAUAACGAGAACAUGAUGGGAGACUACAUUUGGGGGCUGAUUCGUGAAAGUGAUUUACAGUAUAAUCGUAAAUCUCAAACUACUCGCUUCUAAAUCUUUUGUAGUCAUUUUUGUAUUACUUUAGUAUAAAUACAUGUUAAUUUGGAGUCAUAUAUGUUUUUUUCUGACUUUAUGUGAACAAAAAGACACACAUUCGCCCGUUUUCUCAUUGGAAAUAGGUAAAUUUCAAAAUAUCACUGUCCUGGUCACAAAAGCAAAGUUUGUGGGGAAUAAUAGCCAUUUUCUAUACUUUUGAGGCAUAAGCAAUUAGGAAAUAACACUUACUACCCAGGAACUAAAAUUGUGUUACAUAGUGUAGCCACAUAAACAUUAAAAAUUGUGACAGUAUGGCUUGCCGUGCGCAGGUGUGGUGACAUCACGGACCAGGAACACAAAACCAAAAUAAGGAAUGGAGGUGCAAAACUGGAGCGCAACUGCGCUCAGGGUUUUAUUAAAUAAUAAAACCAACAGUUCAAACAAAACAAAAAGGCGCGUCGGCCGAACAAACAGAAAUAAACAAAUAAGUAUCGUGCUGGUGUAAAAACCAGCACGCUUAGCAGUUUGUGUUAAUUUCUUUACCUCCAAACUCCUCACUUGUUCUCCACUCUCGAACACCCUCACCCUGAGCGCAGACAGCUGCAGGCUUUUAUAUUCUGGCCGAGGGGUUAACUAGCAAUUAAUUAAUUAUCCUAUUACCCCUCGGCCAUAGUCUGGACAAGUUUAAAAAGGAUGCGUGACUGUCAGCUAGAAAAAUAAAUUGCAGGCUCAUCAGUCACACAUCCUCACAAGGUUUUAAUCAAAUAAUGACGGCUUUCAUCCGCGAUGCAAACAAUAAUAACACAAAUAAUACAUAUAGGGGAGGGACACUCCGCCACAGAAAUGUAUAUCAAUAUAGGUAUUCCGUACAUUUAUAUACUUGUUCAAUUUCUAAUCCGUCAAAAGUGCUUUCAAGAAGAGAGGUGAAAAAAAUAAAUAAAUCUAUUUGUCCCCCCCCCAGACUAUUAGUAACAUUGUAUUUAAUGUAACAAACUUUGUAACAACAUUUCAAAUGUUACUACCCCUCUGGCUACAAUGUUUCAGUUUCAUGGAGAACAAUGCAGUAACAGCUCACAACACCUUAUAUAACUCUGUGGUCUCUCACCUCUUCUUAAGGUCAAAUGAAGUAGUGCCUUAAAUGUCUAUAUAAAUGGGAUUUUGAAUCAAUGUAUUAAAAGCUAUUUCAAUUCACUUUUACGCAACAGUUCUUUUGAACAGUGCAAUAUGUGUAAGCAACAUUUAAAAAUAACUCUUCAUAACAGAGAUCACAUUUAUCCAGAAAUGUCCAUUGUAGUUAAACACUAUUAUACCACAUGGUGCUACAGAUAAAAAUGUAACAAUGACAAAGAAUAAAAUUUCCUGAGAAGAAAAAAAUAAAGCCAUAUAAUCUUAAUCAAUACAAACUUUCACCUCUGUAGAAUCUAGUUACACUUAAAGUAUACCUUUUUCAAUAGGUGAACAGAACCGUUGAGGAUGUGCUUGGGGAAGAGGUUGUGUUUCCAGGUAUAAAAUUAAAGGACAAAAUUUGAGACUGUGAGGGCAAAUGCACAAACUGCAGUAAAUGAAACAAAGGCCCGAAAAGAAGCAGCAGUGGCAGCAAGACAAACAUUCACUCUAGAUGAAAAGGUACUAAGGAAGAACCGCAGGAGCCAGCAGAGGAAAGGGGGAAAAAUGGAUCGGGACCUUCUGGGCCCUUUCACCAUUACGGCUGUACAGGGCAAAAGUGCAGAUUUGACUGAUGAGAAAGGAAAGGUCUUUCCAAGUAUCAGCUUGGAUCACUUGGUGCCCUAUACAGAAGAGGUUCCUCGUUUACCACACAAAGUACUUUUCUAGGGUUGCUCUUGGAAGACCUGGAUCUCCGGCCCCAGCUGUGGUCAGUCGAGGAUCUCCGGCCCCAGCUGUGGUCAGACGAGGAUCUCCGGCCCCAGCUGUAGUCAGUCCAGUUAUUCUUGAGAAAUGUAAUAAAUGCAUAUAUAACAGCACUGGUGAGGAGAUUUAAUCUUGAAGGGGACGAAAAAGCCUUCCUCAUUGAAUCAUUCACCAUGAGCAAAAUAUGGCGGGGCUCAUAUCAAACACUGAGAGCUUGAUCCCAGCAAGUACAGUUUGAUUUUGGGCAUUAUAAAUGAACAUCACCACUGGACACUUGCUGUUCUGUAUCCAUCCCAAAAGAAGACUAUUUUCUUGGAUCCACUGGGAGAGUCCAAAGAAAUUUGUAGAGGAUGUUCUUGAAGGCAGACAGAGCAACUUUUCCCCCCGAAGGGAGUCCAUUGCCGUUAUCUGAAAGGAAAUGGCAAUCAGCCUUCUUAAGGAAUCAGGUAUAAAGGGUAAUAGUACAGUAUGAGAGUUAAUACCGAAGGCACUGAUGAUGCACUUGUAAUAUUCUAAGCUCUUUUUACUGCACAGAUUAAUUUUGGGCCUGGAUCAUGAAGCUGCAUUUAAGUUAGGUUUAGCUUAAAUUCUCACAAUUGACAAUACAGUAAUAGUUCAGUGAGCUUGUUAAAUCUAGCCAGGUUCAUUGCAUUAAAAUUGAUCACUUAAUUGCACUUUGUUGGGUGAGCAGCAGCGUUGUCGUGUUAAUCUUGUAUUGUACAUGAAUAAAAAAAAUUGUGCAGCUAAACAUUUAAAAUGACUGGUAAAUACAUACAUGAAGAACAAACUACUUCAUCUACAGUAGUGAAACAGUCUGGUGGUGGAGUUUCUAACUAUUUCUAACUUGCAUGUGAGACUGCAAUGUCUGGGGGCCACUAAAGUUGCUGUUUUCAGGAAUGAAUAGUUGAUACAGGUAAGAGUACCUGAGAUGUACCUAUUAGUGCACGUUCUAAAAUAUGCACCCAAAUAUGAUUAUUGCACAGAUGAUCUGAGCAGUCUGUCUGUUUUGUGGAGAGCAGGACACUCUGGGGGAUGCAGUGUCACAAGAUGAAUGGGUAAUUUAGUAGUGAACACUUUAGUUGUAUUUUUAAACUUUUUCAACUGCAACUCCAAACAUCUUCUAAUCAAAAUUAAAAAUAAAUAAAUACAGAAAUAGAAGUAGAUGUUUUCUAAAAGUUUAUGCAAAUUAAAUGUCCAUGGUUUCCAUACUUCGUUAUGAUUUCCUAAUUAAACUCUACACUGCAUUAGUUUUUCUGCACCCUCUACUUUCCUUUGUAUUUUUCAGAUUGCGUGCGAUGGCUGCAGCAGGUGGUUCCUCCACGUGUUUCACGGCCAUCAACUUAGGUCAGCUUUUGUGCAGCAUGCACAAUGUGAGGACACACAGAUGCUUCAUUUCCACUGCAGGCGCAACUGGGCCAGCCGCGCAAGAGCCGUGCCCCCGCCAAGAAACGUCUCCAGUGACGGGCCUCCCUAACCAGAGCUGUUGUAGCCUACUCGAGUCUCAGCUAAUGCUACCGUGGAACACAGAGAAGACGGCUUUGGGACUUUUUAUUGUUAUAAACAUUUCUUAUUGAUUGCUGCUGUUAGACAAUUACAUUACCUUUGCUGCUGUAACCAUUUCCAACGUUACUGAUAUUGAUAUAGUUAGCUGGUUAUUGCUGUAGCCGAACCUAUAUUUAAGUUGUGAUGGUUACUGCUGUUAUGGAUAUAGCUAUUUGUCCAUUGUUGCUAUUGCUGUAGCUAAAUCUAUAUUUGAAUUGUGAUAAUCAUUGUGAAUACUGCUGCUACUGAUCCAGCUAUUGUUAUUGCGACCAAUAUUUAGUUAUAUUUUGUAUAUGUGCUUGGCCAUUGUAGUGUGUUUUUAAUCUGAUUGUUUUAAUAAUUAAAUUAAUCCCUUUCAAAA